rnacentral:lncRNA from 1 species
CCGGAUAUUGUCAGCCUCUGUAAUCAUGCCACAUUGGAAUACUGCAGCCGUGGCUGAGGAGGGAUCUUCGUGAGGCAUCAUGGGCAUCCGUGGUGACUGCAGAAGCUUGAGGGCUUCACGGGGAAGUUUUGAAAUUUUCUACAGUGACUCCUCCACUCAAAAGAUGCUGAAAGAAUGAGAAACUGAGAUUCAAGGCUGGGCACAGGAAGCAAAUGGCAGAUACAAUUGCUGAGAGUUGAUGUCUGGUCCUAGGAAAGCUGGUAUUGCAGUGACAUAAUUUGCUUCCAUUGACCAACAGGUGCCUCGCCUGCUCUGUGACAACCUUCUGAGAAGCAGAACGAGCAUGGCUUUUGAGUCACACUGACCUGGCUUCAAGUUUUAGCUGGGUCUUUUCCCUUUAGUUAUUUUCCUUCUGCAUUUAAAAUUUUAAAAAUAAAUAAAUAAAUAAAUA